rnacentral:lncRNA from 1 species
UCUGCUCAGUGAAGAGGAAGCUGAGAGACUAGAAGAAGAGCAUGGUGUGGUGGCUGUUUUUCCUGAAACAGUGUACCAACUGCACACCACAAGGAGUCCCGUGUUCCUUGGCCUCGAACCCGCCGACAGUACCAGCGUCUGGUCUGAGAAACUCUCGGACAACGACGUCAUAGUUGGAGUUCUCGACACCGGGAUAUGGCCCGAGAGCGAGAGCUUCAACGAUACUGGCUUUACCUCAGUUCCAGCUCAUUGGAAAGGCGCGUGCGAGACAGGACGAGCCUUUACCAGGAACCACUGUAACAAGAAGAUUGUCGGUGCCCGGGUCUUUUACCGGGGAUAUGAAUCCGCCUCAGGGAAAAUUAACGAGAAAGAUGAAUA